ACGCUCGACACCUACGGAGGCAGCAGUGGGGAAUAUUGGGCAAUGGGCGAAAGCCUGACCCAGCAACGCCGCGUGAGGGAAGAAGGUUUUCGGAUUGUAAACCUCUGUCCUCAGGGACGAAGGACGUGACGGUACCUGAGGAGGAAGCCCCGGCUAACUACGUGCCAGCAGCCGCGGUAAUCUGAGGCGGGCUGGCAAGGC
rnacentral:rRNA from 1 species